AACGUAGGUGGCGAGCGUUAUCCGGAUUUACUGGGCGUAAAGCGUGUGCAGGCGGGGAUACAAGUGGUGUAUGAAAUUUCCCGGCUUAACCGGGAAGGGUUAUGCCAGACUGUAUUUCUGGAGUGCGAGAGAGGGGUGUAGAAUUCCCGGUGUAGUGGUGGAAUGCGUAGAUAUCGGGGGGAAUACCAGUGGCGAAAGCGGCACCCUAGCGUUAGCCUGACGCUCAUGUGCGAAAGCGUGGGGAGCGAACGGG
rnacentral:rRNA from 1 species